rnacentral:lncRNA from 1 species
GCAGGGCCCGGCAGUGCUCUGAGCAGGGGAGCAGCGGGAGCGCGGGCCUGACGUCGGGCGGCGAGCAUUUACCCACCCGGAGGGGCGGCCGCGCCUGGGCCGUGCCCGCCGGGAGAGCAGUGCCAGGCGGCCACGGAGGAGCCGCUGUCUGGCUGCGUGGGGGCCGGGCAGCUCGGGCAGUCCGGAGCCCGCCCCAGCGCAGGUUCUCUGCGACCAGGAGCAGGCGAGAGGGCCCUGCCGGUCCCCGCUGAUUCCCCGGGGCUGCUCCUCCCCGUCUCUUCCCAGGACGGGCGGUCCUCGCCUCUGGGGAUGCCCAUGCCUGAGGUCAGCUCAGGCCGCAGUCGGCCGGGUGCGAGGCAGCCCUGGCCCGCUCCUUCCGCCCGGCCAGCGGACCGGUCCUCAGGGCUGUGGAGCACGGAGCGCGCUUGGUAAGAAAAUUAACACCAAGCACUGGGAUGGGCCACGAGCUUCGGGAACUGAACCCGCGGCCUCCUUAGCGCGGCCACGAAUUUCCCUGCUCGGCCUCAACCGCGCCCAGCUCAGCCGCGCAGCCGCUGCUUCUCUCAGAUCAGGGAAAUCACCUGGACAGUCUGCACCGAGCACCGGAGCGCGCAGCGUCCGGGAAAGCCGCAGUUUAACCUUCGCGUCUUCGUUGUCUGGGGGCGCAGAGGCCCAAGGCCUCCUGCCUCCCGCAGGGCCACACACAGCACCCCGUUUCCAGCACAUGCGCCAGACUCCGAGAGGACGCCUGUCCCCGUGGACGCUGCCUCUUCUUGUUCUCUGAGGCCUGGGGAGGAGAGAGAGGUGGCUCCCAGGGCAGGCGAAAGAGAAGAAAAGAAGAAGAAGAAGAAGAAGAGAGAAG